AAAAAAAGAAAUAUGUAAAACGAAGAAAGUCGUAAUAAGGAAAGCUUGUAUUUUACAAAGUCGGGAAGUCAACAAUUUCAAAUUUUUAAAUUGUUGGAGGUCGAAAAUCGACUUCAAGAAACAGAGCGAUAAUUGUCUUAAAGCCACUAGUUAUAUUACAAGUAGAGCUGAUAUUAGUGAAAAAGGGGUGGAUCUGCAGCACAAUGUACGAAAAUUUCCACCGACGUGUAAGAAAGUAUCACCGUGAAAUAAGGACAACACGGUAGGUGUUCUCGUAAAGCACUUCGCCUUACGUAUCUCUUGUUUUUCUGGCAACAGCAGAGAACUUAUCCAGAAAUAUAGAUUUCACUGUUCAUCAGUCCUUAUAUCAACAUUAUCUUCACUCGAUUUUGGAUUUGAACCACAGCCACCACGUGCAUCCGAAGGGACCUCUCCAAUAACCAGGAUGAGGCAAUACAGACGAGUGGUAUGUUGAAUUCACAGAACCCAUAUGUGUGAAGAGCCUACUUUAUGUUUUCAAAAAAAUAUAUGUAUGCAUAACCCCUGAUAUCAAAAUUGGUGGUGCGGAUAGAAAUCAGAAUAUCUUCAAACUUUCGACUUGCAUUGUAUUGUGCUAAAUGUAUUUACAAAAUUUUUUAUUUGAAUUGAAUUUUUAUAAAUAAAACAACAUAAAAUUUUA
rnacentral:lncRNA from 1 species